GGAGGAGGAAAUGGUAACCCACUCCAGUAUUCUUACCUGGGGAAUCCCAGGCACAGAGGAGCCUGGCAGGCUAUAGUCCAUAGGGUUGCAAGGAGUUGGACGUGACUGAGCACACACACACAUGUGGAAAUAAAUGUUUCUUUUAAAGAAAACCAAUUUUUUUUAAAGGGAGCCAGUGGUCAUGGCGGUGAAUUGGAUACCUACACCAGACAAAGCCUGAGAGGCGUAAUCAAAUAAGGGAACCACUUGAACUGAACUCCCAGCAGGAGCAGGAGGGAGGCCUGGAGAGGUUACAGGUCAACUGCUAUGCUGGUGUGAACCAGGGACAACUAUUGAGAGCCCACAUCUGCUGUUUCACCUUGAGACAAGGAACCUGUUCACACUGGAUGAGCCCAUGUCUAUGCAUGUCCUCUUUCAGAUGGCCCUGAAGGUGACAUAGGCAGUGAGACUUUGAAGAUCACAUCAAAGCCAUCAAAGCACAGAAUGUUGGUGCCGGAUGGCCCUUUCAAGUUCACGGUCCACUCCAUCCCAAAGACAGAUGGGAAAACUGAAGCCCAUGCUAAGAGAAGUUCCUUCCCCAAGGCCACAGGCAGAAAUGUUUGCCCUCCUAGUACAACCAUUAUUCUGCUGUAUCAGUCUGCCAUUUAUGACAAAGUCCUCCUUAUAUGACAGAGAACUAUUUAUAAUGCUAGUAUUGAGGGAUAUGAUUAGUACAUUUGCUGUGGGUUGAUAUGUCAGAUUUGGCCUGUGAGCAGCUGUUACAUUUAGAGAAACACGUUUGAAUCCAGAAGUCAUCCAAACUCUGUGAUAAAAACAGUAGACCAUGUCAUGCUAGGAUCCUACGUGAUUAUGACUGAUUUGUCCUCUAAGUUGUUUAUUUAUCUCAUUGUUGGGCUUUUAGUUUAUUUCCUUGUCACUUUUUCUAUACAUAGGUUUGACAGCUGUGUAAUCACAGAAUACUGUAUAAUCUACUUUAUAUUUUGUUUUUUUGAGUAAAACCUUCUUACUUUGGC
ensembl:lncRNA